UACGUAGGGGGCAAGCGUUGUCCGGAUUUAUUGGGCGUAAAGAGCGUGUAGGCGGCCAUACAGGUCCGUUGUGAAAACUGGAGGCUUAACCUCCAGACGUCGAUGGAAACCGUAUGGCUAGAGUCCGGAAGAGGAGAGUGGAAUUCCUGGUGUAGCGGUGAAAUGCGCAGAUAUCAGGAAGAACACCCGUGGCGAAGGCGGCUCUCUGGGUCGUACCUGACGCUGAGGCGCGAAAGCUAGGGUAGCAAACGGG
rnacentral:rRNA from 1 species